AGUUCGGACUGGAGUCUGCAACCCGACUCCACGAAGCUGGAUUCGCUAGUAAUCGCGCAUCAGCCACGGCGCGGUGAAUACGUUCCCGGGCCUUGUACACACCGCCCGUCAAGCCAUGGGAGCCGGGGGUACCUGAAGUGCGUAACCGCGAGGAUCGCCCUAGGGUAAAACUGGUGACUGGGGCUAAGUCGUAACAAGGUACC
rnacentral:rRNA from 1 species